UCUUAGAAUGCAAGAGGGUGGUUAGUGAAUGAGACCAGGUCACCAAGGGUCUUGUAACCAUGGUAAGGAAUUUGGAAUUUAUCCUAAGGGUAGGAAGAAGCCCUUGAAAAGGGCUAUAGCAGGCAGUGUGGAGAAUUGAAUGAGAAGAAGCUAUUGUAACUCCUCAGAGAAAAUGGCAGUCUCCUCCACAGUCUGUGUCACAGCCAGGGACCAAGGCAGCACAAAGAGAAGGAAGCAAGAGGAAAUAAAGGAGGAUCACAUUUUCAUGGAAACAUGCCCACAGAACUCCAAGGAUGGAUCCAAGGUUUUAAAAAGUAAUUAUUCUUUACAAUAUUCAUAAUUUUCUAAUAAACUCAACACAGACCAG